UCCAGGGUAGCCUAGUGGACAUGGCACCUGCCCGGUAAGCAGAAGGUUGUGGGUUCGAUUCCCAUCCCUGGAC